GGCGGGCUCUGGGGCAGAGCAGGGAGAAGCAGAUGCCACCAUGCUUCCAGUACAGCCUGCAGAACUGUGAGCCAAUUAAGCCACUUUUCUUACAAAUUACCCAGCCUUGGGUAUUACUCUACAGCCAUGCGAGAAUGGCCUAACACAGGUGGGACGACCUGGAGAGGUCUGUUGCCUGAAUGAGAGUCACUGAGUUUACACUGCAGGAGAGCAGCUCCCAAGACCAAGGCCCUGCGAUUCCCAGAGGCCGUCGGACUGCCGCAUCCCUUGGCGUGAACGGUGGGCGUGGAGAAGGACCCAGAGUCUGGAGCCUACAUCCUGGAGGACUGUGGCCCUGAACUUUGGUUAAACACAAACAAGCCCCAAGAAAAGGGAAAGCGAAAACCAGAGGCACUGGAGGAAUCACAACAAAAAGCACCUUGAGAAGCACCUACAAGACAGCAGCGCAGCGUGGCCAGCUCCCUGCCUCAAGCACCAGGCAGGCUAACCCAGGUUCCGAGAGGGGGCAGGUCAACACUGGAUAAAAUAAACUCCAGGAGGCCGGGC
rnacentral:lncRNA from 10 species